rfam:Pteropus alecto contig169114, whole genome shotgun sequence.
UUUUUAGUGUAAGUAUGACCCAUGCAACAUUUGGGACAUAUUUAUACUAAAA